GACGAAGGAUGCAAGCGUUAUCCGGAUUCAUUGGGUUUAAAGGGAGCGUAGGUGGCCUUGUAAGUCAGUGGUGAAAUCCUGUAGCUUAACUAUAGAAUUGCCAUUGAUACUGCAGGGCUUGAGUACAGAUGCCGUUGGCGGAAUAUGACAUGUAGUGGUGAAAUACUUAGAUAUGUCAUAGAACACCGAUUGCGAAGGCAGCUGACGAAACUGUAACUGACACUGAGGCUCGAAAGUGUGGGGAGCAAACAGG
rnacentral:rRNA from 1 species